rnacentral:rRNA from 1 species
UACGUAGGGUGCGAGCGUUAAUCGGAAUUACUGGGCGUAAAGCGUGCGCAGGCGGUUUUGUAAGCCAGUGUGAAAUCCCCGGGCUCAACCUGGGAAUGGCAUUUGGGACUGCAAGGCUGGAGUGCGGCAGAGGAGACUGGAAUUCCUGGUGUAGCAGUGAAAUGCGUAGAUAUCAGGAGGAAUACCGAUGGCGAAGGCAGGUCUCUGGGCUGACACUGACGCUCAUGCACGAA